rnacentral:rRNA from 1 species
CCUGGCGCAGCAGUAGGGAAUCUUCCACAAUGGGCGAAAGCCUGAUGGAGCAACGCCGCGUGGGUGAAGAAGGUCUUCGGAUCGUAAAGCCCUGUUGUUAGAGAAGAAAGUGCGUGAGAGUAACUGUUCACGUUUCGACGGUAUCUAACCAGAAAGCCACGGCUAACUACGUGCCAGCAGCCGCGGUAAUACGUAGGUGGCAAGCGUUAUCCGGAUUUAUUGGGCGUAAAGAGAACGCAGGCGGUCUUUUAAGUCUGAUGUGAAAGCCUUCGGCUUAACCGGCGUAGGGCAUUGGAAACUGGGAG